rnacentral:rRNA from 1 species
ACGCUCGACACCUACGGGAGCAGCAGUGGGGAAUAUUGGGCAAUGGGCGCAAGCCUGACCCAGCAACGCCGCGUGAAGGAAGAAGGCUUUCGGGUUGUAAACUUCUUUUCUUCAGGGACGAAGGAAGUGACGGUACCUGAGGAACAAGCCACGGCUAACUACGUGCCAACAGCCGCGGUAAUCUGAGCGGGCGUGGCAAGGC